rnacentral:siRNA from 1 species
UUCCAUUAAGACUCUGAGAGU